rnacentral:lncRNA from 1 species
GUAGCUGAAUGUAAAGAAAGCCGAGACUACCGAUUCCUAGCUGGAUAACUGGUGAUAAAACUAGAAAAACAGGUAAAACCUAUAAUUCUAGUAAAUAUCGAUAACUAGUGAAUAAAUCUAAACGAAACGACAGCGAUGCGCCCGAAGUUAAAGCUUAGAAUUUACUCGAUAAGCGGAACUUACAAGAUCGGCCGGAGAUCAAGUUGAUGCAGCCCUGCCAACCCGUACGAACUCGUGAAAAGAGAAAGUAUUUGGCGAAGUCGCCUGCUUGAAAGUAAGUGCGAGGAAAAAGUAGUUGGUUGUAUUGAUUUGUUGAUGAUCACAUAUUUUACAAAAGUAGCUAUUUAUAGCCCCGUACAGAUGACCCCUUAACCGACUAGAACUCUAUCUCUAAUCCAAAUAGAAAACGAAUAUUUACAAGCACGAUUCGUGCUAGGUUGGUUAUUAUAUGCUCCACGGGCUGAUCUCCCCUUCAUCCUUCUAUUUCCUUUCCAAGCCCAUACCGGCCCAAUUAUCCCAACCUCCUUAAUCAGCCGAUUCCUUAUCGGCAAAAGGUAACCGAUCGGGAACCUGUAGUGUCCGAUCCGAACCCCAGGGGUUAAGCGAGGCGGAAGUCAUCGGCUGAUCCCGCACUGUAACAUUGGCCGAUCUUGGACUGUAGCGCCAACCAACCGAUCUAGAACUGUAGCGCCAUUCGGCCGAUUCCCAACUGUACUCCUCCAAUUUCCUCUUCUUUUGGCGCCGAUUUCACUGGUGACGAAAUCUGGCGUCAACAGGAACGAUCGGUGGUGGGCACCGUGGACUUGUAGUGGUGGCAGGGGUUGUGGAAAGAGAGAAGGGGAGGAGAGAGGGAGGGCAGUGCUCGCUGAUGCCGGAGACAAUGCCGGCGAGGUGGAAGUUGGUGGCUUCGGAAUAGGGAUGCGAGCGAAGGGAGAUGAUAGGAAUAGAGAACAGACAAUGCCGACGAGGUGGAAGUUGGUGGCUUUGGAAUAGGGAUGUGAGCGAAGGGAGAUGAUAGGAAUAGAGAACCAACGAAGGAAGACAAAGAAUGGGCUAGAUAAGAAUAAGGCAAGAGUAAAUGUGUGGGCCUGAGGUGCGAAGGGACCUGUCGACCAACGGCUAUUUCAACAGGCCUCCCUCACUAGCGCCUCCUUUUCUCUUUAUGCAUUUCAAAUUCUCGAGAUAAGGAGAUAUUUUCUUUUUGAAUGACCAACAACUAGGGGUGAGUAUGAAUCUUCCUCAGACAUUAGUGACAUUUAAAUGAGAUUUAGAAACUUCAUGCGUUGUAUUCAGUUUCUACAUUCUAGUGCCUGACAAGGCUGAACCCAUGAACUUUUGCUUGUAAUGCCACUGUUAUGGCACCGCACUACUGCUAGUGUGUUUUUGAACAUGCUAACGCGCUCAUGCCAUCUUUACAAAACACAAGCAUCAUUUUGCUUCAAGCCUAGGGGCUGUACAACAGUACUAAAUAAAAAAAAUGUAUCAUAUAUAUGACAGCAUCGAUGUUACAAAGCGGAUCACAGGGUGGUACCUCCACCAAAAAAAUGAGCUAUGACCCCGUUUGUGGUCUUAUUUGGAAGAAUUUUCAAAAGAAGCCAUACCUCGAUGCACAGUUUGUACACAUUCCCUC